UACGUAUGGGGCGAGCGUUGUCCGGAAUGAUUGGGCGUAAAGGGCGCGUAGGCUGCUUAGCAAGUCUGCAGUGAAAGUCCUAUUUUCAGGGUAGGAAUUGCUUUGGAAACUGUUGAGCUUGAGUGCAGGAGAGGUUAUCGGAAUUCCCGGUGUAGCGGUGAAAUGCGUAGAGAUCGGGAGGAACACCAGUGGCGAAGGCGGGUAACUGGACUGCAACUGACGCUGAGGCGCGAAAGUGUGGGGAGCAAACAGGAUUAGAUACCCU
rnacentral:rRNA from 1 species